rnacentral:rRNA from 1 species
UACGGGGGGGGGCAAGCGUUGUUCGGAAUUACUGGGCGUAAAGGGCGCGUAGGCGGUCAGAUAAGUCAGCUGUGAAAACCUCGGGCUUAACCCGAGGCCUGCAGUUGAAACUGUUUGGCUGGAGUGUGGGAGAGGAGAGUGGAACUCCCGGUGUAGCGGUGAAAUGCGUAGAUAUCGGGAGGAACACCGGUGGCGAAGGCGGCUCUCUGGACCACUACUGACGCUGAGGCGCGAAAGCUAGGGGGAGCAAACAGG